rnacentral:rRNA from 1 species
AUGGCGGCACACAAGCGGCUCCACGACGGCUUCGAGCAGGACCCCGACCAGCCCGAGAAGAAGCGGAUGGAGCGGUCGGUCUCCUUCUCCACGGUGAUCCGGGAGGCCAUGGUGAUGAAGCAGGUGCAGAGUGUGUUCCUGGUGCUGGAGCCUCUCCUGCGCCGAGUGGUGCAGGAGGAGAUCCAGGCGGGGCUGGUGCGCAGCCCGCGGUACAUCGAGAGGUCCUCGCCGGAGACGCCGCCGGCGGCGGAGCGGCCCGCGUGGAGGCUGGCGUUCCUGCGCCCGCCGAUGCUACCGAUCUUCACCGGCAGCAAGAUCGAGGACGCAAACGGCGAGCCACUCCAGGUCGUCCUCGUCGCCGCGGUCACCGGGUCGGUCUGCGGCGCUCUCCCGCAGUUCAUGCGCGUCGAGCUGGUGCCGCUCUUCGGGGACUUCCCUCCGGACGGCCGCGAGGACUGGACGACCGGCGAGUUCGCCCGGGGCGUCGUCAAGGAGCGCUCGGGGAAGCGCCCGCUCCUUACCGGCGACGUCGGCCUCACCAUGCGCGACGGGCGCGCCGUCGUCAGCGACCUCCAGUUCACCGACAACUCCUCCUGGGUCCGCUGCCGCAAGUUCCGCAUCGGCGCGCGUGUGGUGCCGGGAAGCUACGAGGGCGGCAGGGUCGCCGAGGCCAUGACCGACGCCUUCAACGUCCGCGAUCACCGCGGCGAACUGUACCGGAAGCACUACCCGCCGGCGCUCACCGACGACGUGUGGCGGCUGGAGAAGAUCGGCAAGGAGGGGGCCUUCCACCGGAAGCUGCGGCAGAGCGGCGUGGAGACCGUGCAGGAGUUCGUGCGGAUGCUGAACGUGAAGCCGGACGUGCUGCGCGCGAUCAUGGGCGACGGCAUGACGGACCGCAUGUGGGAGGUGACCACGAGCCACGCCAGGACGUGCGACGCCGGCGACAAGGUGUACGCGUACGCCGGGCAGCACGGCGCCACCGUCUACGUCAACUCCCUCUUCCAGCUGGUCAGGCUCGAGUUCGCCGGCGUCCAGUGCGCGGCGCAGCACCUCACCAGGGUCCAGAAGGCGUACGUGCAGCAGCUGUACGUGGAGGCGUUCGAGCAGCGGCACAGCCUCCAGGAGGCCGAGCCCCUGCCCGCCGCCAUGCUCCUCCACGCCAGCAGCAGCAGCAACAGCCUCCCAAUGCUGCAGAACGCAGCGCCGGUCGCGCCGCCGCCGCUUCCGGCGACGCCGCUCUGGUUCCAGAGCAACCAGGAGCUGGACCUCCAGAUCGUCGACGAGCUCCCCGACCAGAAUGGCUGCUUCGGCUUCCAGAUGUACUGA